rnacentral:rRNA from 1 species
CCUACGGGUGGCAGCAGUGAGGGAUAUUGGUCAAUGGGGGAAACCCUGAACCAGCAACGCCGCGUGAGGGAAGACGGUUUUCGGAUUGUAAACCUCUGUCCUCUGUGAAGAUAAUGACGGUAGCAGAGGCGGAAGCAUCGGCUAACUCCGUGCCAGCAGCCGCGGUAAUACGGAGGAUGCGAGCGUUAUCCGGAUUUAUUGGGUUUAAAGGGUGCGCAGGCGGAGGUGCAAGUCAGCGGUCAAGUUGCGGGGCUCAACCCCGUACUGCCGUUGAAACUGCAUCCCUUGAGUGCGCGAGAAGUAUGCGGAAUGCGUGGUGUAGCGGUGAAAUGCAUAGAUAUCACGCAGAACUCCGAUUGCGAAGGCAGCAUACCGGCGCGCAACUGACGCUCAUGCACGAAAGCGUGGGUAUCGAACAGGAUUAGAUACCCUAGUAGUC